AGUAUUCUCGCGAGAAGUCUGGGAGACGACAGUGAUGGCGGCGGCGGGAACCGGUCCCGGGCCAGGAGUGGGUGCAGGACCCGGCCCGACAGCGGCUGCAAAUGCAACACCGGCGGAAGAAGGGGAGACGAAGCCGGUAGUAGCGGUAGUAGCCGCUCCGGCCGGAGAGGGGACGUCCGCUGCUCCAGCCGCCGAGCCCGGCUCCGGAGAGGCCGAAAGCGGCGAUGCGAACUCGGUUGAUGUAAGUGGUGGCUUGGAGACAGAAUCCUCUAAUGGGAAAGAUACAUUAACACAGGAAGGUGCUGGGGAUACCUCAGAGGUGAUGGAUACUCAGGCGGGCUCCGUGGAUGAAGAGAAUGGCCGACAGCUGGGAGAGGUGGAGCUGCAGUGUGGGAUAUGUACUAAGUGGUUCACAGCGGACGCCUUCGGCAUAGAUACCUCGUCCUGUCUGCCUUUCAUGACCAACUACAGUUUCCACUGCAAUGUGUGCCAUCACAGUGGGAACACCUACUUCCUCCGGAAGCAAGCAAACUUGAAGGAAAUGUGCCUUAGCGCGUUGGCCAACCUGACGUGGCAGUCCCGAACACAGGACGAACAUCCAAAAACCAUGUUCUCCAAAGAUAAGGAUAUCAUACCAUUUAUUGAUAAAUACUGGGAGUGCAUGACAACCAGACAGAGACCUGGAAAAAUGACUUGGCCAAACAACAUUGUUAAAACGAUGAGUAAAGAAAGAGAUGUGUUCUUAGUAAAGGAACAUCCUGAUCCCGGAAGUAAGGACCCAGAGGAAGAUUACCCCAAAUUUGGCCUCCUAGAUCAGGAUCUUAGUAACAUUGGUCCUGCUUAUGACAACCAAAAACAAAGCAGUGCCGUGUCUACCAGUGGGAAUCUAAAUGGUGGAGCCUCUUUUGGAGGGGGAAUUGCAGCAGGAAGCAGCGGAAAAGGAAGAGGAGCUAAGCGCAAACAGCAGGAUGGAGGGACCACGGGGACCACCAAGAAGGCCCGGAGUGACCCUUUGUUUUCUGCUCAGCGCCUUCCCCCUCACGGCUAUCCCUUGGAGCACCCGUUUAACAAAGAUGGCUAUCGGUAUAUUCUAGCUGAGCCCGAUCCCCAUGCUCCUGACCCCGAGAAGCUCGAACUGGACUGCUGGGCGGGAAAACCGAUCCCCGGAGACCUCUACAGAGCCUGCUUGUAUGAACGGGUCUUGUUAGCCCUGCAUGAUCGAGCUCCCCAGUUAAAGAUCUCUGAUGACCGGCUGACUGUGGUUGGAGAGAAGGGCUACUCUAUGGUUCGGGCUUCUCACGGGGUUCGGAAAGGUGCCUGGUACUUUGAAAUCACUGUGGAUGAGAUGCCACCGGACACUGCUGCCAGGCUGGGUUGGUCCCAGCCACUAGGUAACCUUCAAGCUCCCUUAGGCUAUGAUAAAUUUAGCUAUUCUUGGCGGAGCAAAAAGGGAACCAAGUUCCACCAGUCCAUCGGCAAACAUUACUCAUCUGGCUAUGGGCAGGGAGACGUCUUGGGAUUUUAUAUCAAUCUGCCUGAAGACACAGAGACAGCCAAGUCACUGCCUGAUACCUACAAAGAUAAGGCUUUGAUAAAGUUCAAGAGUUAUUUGUAUUUUGAGGAAAAAGACUUUGUGGAUAAAGCAGAGAAGAGCCUAAAGCAGACUCCCCAUAGCGAGAUAAUUUUUUAUAAAAAUGGUGUCAAUCAAGGUGUGGCUUACAAAGAUAUUUUUGAGGGGGUUUACUUUCCGGCCAUCUCGCUCUACAAGAGCUGCACGGUCUCCAUUAACUUUGGACCGUGCUUCAAGUACCCACCAAAGGAUCUCACUUACCGCCCCAUGAGUGACAUGGGCUGGGGCGCCGUGGUCGAGCACACUCUGGCUGAUGUCUUAUAUCACGUGGAAACGGAAGUGGACGGGAGGCGGAGUCCCCCGUGGGAACCCUGACCACGUCCUUUUUUCUUGGCAGACACAGACUUUCUGGGGAAUACUACGAGGGGGGUUUGGUUUUGUUUUUUUAACUGUCGCAAACAUUUUCCCGAAGCUACCGCGGAACAGGCUCUGCGGCAGCAAAUGAAUGGCGGGGCCGGGUGUGACGCCUGCCCUUCGACACGCUCUCCCGUCUGUGACCGAAGGCUCUUACUUUGUGUGCCAUAUCCCAGCAGCUGCUGACCCCAGGGCCCCAGGAGCUCCCCGUGAAACCGGGGCUGUGCCAUGUACCCCACCAGCCGAGCCCUGUUACCUUCCUGUGCUUUGUAAGGAGUGGGUAGUCUCAUCCAAGUAGCUAACUCAUCCGGAGACGUUUCCUCCGAUGGGCCUUGCCUCUGUCCCACCUGGUUCCCGAGGAAGCGAGAACAGCUGAAAUCAGUGGCUGUACAUUCCAGACCCAUCUAAAAGCUCUUUCGUGUGGGUGUGUUUUUAUUAUUAAUGUUGGGAUACGCUUUUGCACACUGGGCUCCCCGAAACUGCUAGGUCUGUAGGACUGUAAUUGUGAAAGGCACUCGCUUGCAGCUUUAACAAUUAGAAACUCCUCCCAAAUAAAACUUGUCUUCCGGUGUGUGUGGCACUUUGCUUCCCUUUCAGGUUGGGGUCCACGUGGUGACCGCGUCGGAAAGGUGGGCAUUCUGAGGAAGGGGCGCCAGUGUUGGAGGAAAGAGACAGGUUUCUGUGUCAACCCCUCACCCAUUGCUUCAUUCUCUCCAGACUCUCAGCCACCCCCUCCAUCCCGGGAAAGCUGGACUCAGGACCUCGCAGUGCCGUCCUCCCAGGAUUGCUCCAGACUUCGAGUAUAGCAGGUGAUGGGAGAGUGGCUCACCACCAGGACCUGCCAGGCCACAGGGAACCAGAGUCACUACUCAGCCAGGCUGGGGCCGAGGCGCCCCUACACCCACCCCAAGCUUGUCACCACCCCACCUUGAUCUCCUUGACAUUCGGAUUCCACUCGCCCAUGGUCUCCAUGCGCUCCACAAGCUCUUCAUAAAGCCUCUCCAUGGGCUGAUCGACCACCACCUCCAGCCGGAACACCUUGCCCACAUCUGGGACCACUUUACUUAGCACUUCGUCCCCAUUCGCCUGUUGGGAGGCAGAGAGGAGCCCCUGGGUAAAGGUUAGAGACAAACAUUCCCAGCCGAGGGCACAGGGACAGUGCCAGGCGAGGCAGAAGGGGAACAGCCCGGAGAACUCUAAGCUAAGCCUGCAGAAGCAUGGAGCUAUCUCUGGUUACAGUAGAGGAGGUCAUCUUCCUGCCACAAGCCUCGUGUGUCUGCAGACUGGGGAGGGAAACUGGUCCCUGGACCCUUUUUUCUUGGGGGUAAAUGUUGAUGGGGUUGGGUAGGUCCUUACUUCAGAAGCUCAAAGAUCCUAGCGGGACAAACCUGGGAGUGGGGAAAGUGGUGUCUACAACCAGCUAGCUUCACACAGAUUUUUUUUUUCCUAGUCCAAUACCUCAUUUUACACCCAAGGAUGUAGAGCCAGAGGAGGUCAGUGAGAUGCCCAGAGACCCUUAGCUAAGAGCAUUGCUGGGCCUAGAUCCCAGAUUUCCUGACUCCCAAAUUCGGAGUCUUUUAACUCUGAGAACUUGGAGAAGGAAAGAUCUUCCUUAAACUUUGGCCAGUGGCAGCACCAGAGCUUUUGGUAAAGACAAAGCCACCGGAGUCUCAGAGUCACCGGCCUUGAACACAUGCCUUGUUACUGGCUCCUGGCACAGGUGCAGCGCUCAGGGGCAGAGCACCCGAGAAGGCCUUAGGCCACCUGUGUUCUGAUCCAGCCCCAUUGCAAGUGAGUCCAGAUCACCCCUGCAAACUCAUCUGGAAGGUAGGCUAAGCACAGACACUGCACAUUGGCUCUGGAACUUCUGACCCAGGGAGGGUGAGGCCUCUACUGCACCUGAAUCCCAGUCCCAUGGCCUGCACGGGUGUUCAGUGCAUGUGGAGGGUAGAUAAGGAUUCAGGAACAGUGUUUCUCACACGCGAGCCUCCAGGAUGUCUUUGGGGGAAGGGGCUAUCUGGGGAUAUAUCCUUGGGAAAAGGAGAAUUCUCAAGUUAAAAAUGCUUGCUGCCCAGUGACUGCUGCAUGAGGCAGGAAUUCUGAGAAGAGCAGAGACCCCAGCUGGCCUUGAGGGUGGCCCUGGAACCAUGAGGAACUGUGGCUUCCUCCACACCCACCCUUACCUGCUGGCUCUCCCUCUUCCAACCUUCCUGGUUGCUCAAGAUGCCUAGGGCCCUCUGCAUGGCCUCCUCUCCCUGCUGGAUAUAGGCCAGUUCUUGGUCGCUGUAGAGAGUGUCCUCCAGCUGAGAACCUGGAUACACAGCCAAGGAAAGACUGAGCUUCUUGGCCUUCCACUGGCUCUCACCCCUUUGAUCUCUGGACCUGCUCUUUCCUCUGAAGAGCCAAGACCAAAGCCAUAGGGUCCAGCCUGCAGGUCCAGUUAGACCCAGGUGAGAGGAGGGGAUGUGGCCCUGAAGAACUCCAUUCCCAUCCUCUCAGAGUGAGUGAGGAAAGCGUGGCGGCGGAGGGGGUGUGGGGGUGGCGCAGGGGAGGGGGAAGACCAGAGCCACAGGCACAUUUGUAGCCGGGAGCCUCCUGCCGCUGGCAGAAGCCCAGAAGCCUCUGCACUUACCAAGCAGAGAGCCACGGCGCCGAACCUGGUUAAUCCACGCUCCUGGGGUCGGGCCCCCCAGGGCCCUCCAGUUCAGCUCCUGGCCAAUGGCCAGCACAGCCUGGUGCCUCAGCCCUGCGGGGAAGGAAGGGAGCCAUUACUUAGGAGUGGGAGAGCUCCUUAGAGAUGGACCAUUCCACCUCCUCAUCUUGACAGCAGAGGACAAAAGCUGGGGGAGAAAGUGACUUGCUCAGGAACACAGAUCUCUAGUAGGAACUUGAACUAGAGCCAGGUCAGCUCCAGGUCCUGUGUCCUUGACUCCAGGCUGCCUCCAGGGCCUGGAAUUCACUGCCUUUCACCUGGGCUGGCCAGGGACCACACUCAAACUUGCUGAAAUUCUUUCUUGGAAAGAAGCUUUGUUCAAAUAACAAAACAUCCUGCUACAGAA